rnacentral:rRNA from 1 species
AACGAACGCUGGCGGCAUGCCUAACACAUGCAAGUCGAACGAGACCUUCGGGUCUAGUGGCGCACGGGUGCGUAACGCGUGGGAAUCUGCCCUUGGGUUCGGAAUAACUCGCCGAAAGGCGUGCUAAUACCGGAUGAUGACGUAAGUCCAAAGAUUUAUCGCCCAAGGAUGAGCCCGCGUUGGAUUAGCUGGUUGGUGAGGUAAAGGCUCACCAAGGCGACGAUCCAUAGCUGGUCUGAGAGGAUGAUCAGCCACACUGGGACUGAGACACGGCCCAGACUCCUACGGGAGGCAGCAGUGGGGAAUAUUGGACAAUGGGCGAAAGCCUGAUCCAGCAAUGCCGCGUGAGUGAUGAAGGCCUUAGGGUUGUAAAGCUCUUUUACCCGGGAUGAUAAUGACCGUACCGGGAGAAUAAGCUCCGGCUAACUCCGUG